rnacentral:lncRNA from 1 species
UUCUCCAUGGUUACGAUGGUAAAUAGACUGGUUCUUAUAAAGCGCUUUUCUACUGUAACACUCAAAGCAUUUUAUACAACUUGCCUCAUUGACUCAUACAAGCACUUUUCUAUGCUUUUUCUAUGUAAGUGCUUUCUAUCUAACAUGGACAUACUCCAAUGGAUGCAUCAGAGAGCAACUUGGGGUUAGCAUCUUGCCCAAGGAUAUUCGGCACGCAGACUGGAGCGGACAGGGAUCAAACCACCAACCUGAGUGGUAUGUGACCUGUUGUACCUCCUGACCCACAGUCACAGUGAGUGCACGAAAGCAAGGAAGUGUAAUGUAUGCAAGCGGUUAAAAAAAAAAGUGGUCAAUGUAUCCCAAACACUAAAAAAAUCUACUUUCUAGGGAGGCUGACAUAACCAGCCCUCUACACAACAAUCAAGGGGAUAUGAUUCAGGUGUGGCUCAUCCUCUAACACUGCCUCCCACACAGGAAAAGGAAACGGCAUGCACAACUGGAAUGCAGCCAUUUGCCUUUUACUUAGACUACUAACAUCGCAGCUUGUCAUCCAAAACAUCAAUUUUAAGUUCUACAGCAAGCCCACCAACAAAGUCCUUGUGGAAGUCACCGCAGGGGACUGGUUCCUUACCUCAGCUGGUGUCCUACGGAGCACCUACACUAUUCAACAUCGUCCUAGAACAGUAAUAAGAGAAAACCUGGAAGAUCUAAUGGCGACCAUCAGCACUGCAGGUCAAACAAUCACUAAUGGAUGA